GAUGAACGCUGGCGGCGUGCCUAACACAUGCAAGUCGAGCGAUCUCCUCGGAGAGAGCGGCGGACGGGUGAGUAACGCGUGGGUAACCUGCCCUGUACACACGGAUAACAUACCGAAAGGUAUACUAAUACGGGAUAACAUACGAAAGUCGCAUGGCUUUUGUAUCAAAGCUCCGGCGGUACAGGAUGGACCCGCGUCUGAUUAGCUAGUUGGUAAGGUAAUGGCUUACCAAGGCAACGAUCAGUAGCCGACCUGAGAGGGUGAUCGGCCACACUGAACUGAGACACGGUCCAGACUCCUACGGGAGGCAGCAGUGGGGAAUAUUGCACAAUGGGCGAAAGCCUGAUGCAGCAACGCCGCGUGAGCGAUGAAGGCCUUCGGGUCGUAAAGCCCUGUCCUCAAGGAGGAUAAUGACGGUACUUGAGGAGGAAGCCCCGGCUAACUACGUGCCAGCCGCCGCGGUAACAC
rnacentral:rRNA from 1 species